GAGAGCUAGCUUCAUGCUUCGGGCGGAGAAAAAAGACAGAGGAUUGGGAUUUUUUUUCUUCAUAGGGUUUUGGGAAGACGGAGGCAAUCGUUGCUGAAGUCAGUAUUGUACUAGUGAAUCGGGGUUUUAAUGAAGUGGGUGUGAUUACUCUUGACUGUUUUGUGAAAUCGAAGUUAGGUCUGUGAUUGAAGGAUUAAAAGGGUGUCUAUAGGAUUGAGUAUGCGGAGUGAAUAAAAAAUUUUGGGUGAAUCUAACAAGACAGUCAGUGGAU
rnacentral:lncRNA from 1 species